UACGGGGGGGCAAGCGUUGUUCGGAAUUACUGGGCGUAAAGGGCUCGUAGGUGGCCAACUAAGUCGGACGUGAAAUCCCUCAGCUUAACUGGGGAACUGCGUCCGAUACUGGAUGGCUUGAGUUUGGGAGAGGGAUGCGGAAUUCCAGGUGUAGCGGUGAAAUGCGUAGAUAUCUGGAGGAACACCGGUGGCGAAGGCGGCAUCCUGGACCAACACUGACGCUGAGUGAGCGAAAGCCAGGGGAGCAAACGGG
rnacentral:rRNA from 1 species